AUUGAACGCUGGCGGCAGGCCUAACACAUGCAAGUCGAACGAGUGGCGGACGGGUGAGUAAUGUCUGGGAAACUGCCUGAUGGAGGGGGAUAACUACUGGAAACGGUAGCUAAUACCGCAUAAAAUCAGAUGUGCCCAGAGGGGAUUAGCUAGUUGGUGGGGUAACGGCUCACCAAGGCGACGAUCCUUAGCUGGUCUGAGAGGAUGACCGGCCACACUGUAACUGAGACACUGUCCAGACUCCUACGGGAGGCAGCAGUGGGGAAUAUUGCACAAUGGGCGCAAGCCUGAUGCAGCCAUGCCGCUUGUAUGAAGAAGGCCUUCGGGUUGUAAAGUACUUUCAGCGGGGAGGCGUUACCCGCAGAAGAAGCACCGGCUAACUCCGUGCCAGCCGCCGCGGUAAUUC
rnacentral:rRNA from 1 species